UACGGGGGGAGCAAGCGUUGUUCGGAUUUACUGGGCGUAAAGGGCGCGUAGGCGGCGCAACAAGUCACUUGUGAAAUCUCCGGGCUUAACCCGGAGCGGUCAAGUGAUACUGUCGUGCUAGAGUGCGGAAGGGGCGACUGGAAUUCUCGGUGUAGCGGUGAAAUGCGUAGAUAUCGAGAGGAACACCUGCGGCGAAGGCGGGUUGCUGGGCCGACACUGACGCUGAGGCGCGAAAGCGUGGGGAGCAAACAGG
rnacentral:rRNA from 1 species